UUCCUGUGUGAGCUGCUCUGGGUGGCCCUGCCUUGGCAGGAGUUGGAGUGGAUGAUCUCCAGUGGGCCCUUCCAGCACUAACGGUUCUGUGAUUCUGUGUUCUGCAAGCUAGGGUG